GUUCGCUGCCCGCGACGUUGUGAGAAGUCCACUGAACCUUAUCAUUUAGAGGAAGGAGAAGUCGUAACAAGGUUUCCGUAGGUGAACCUGCGGAAGGAUCAUUG
rnacentral:rRNA from 1 species